rnacentral:lncRNA from 1 species
GGGUACAAUAUUUGUCCCAAAGGGUGUUCUUGUAUCGUCUCUAUUUUUGGUGUUUCUCAAGUUGGUCACUUGAGAUUUUGGUGUACCAUUAUUUUUUUUAUAGUGGAUAUUUCUCGGAGUUUGGCCCGUGGUUUUUCCCUCUAAAUUUGGGAGGGUUUUCCACGUAAAUUUUGGUGUUCCGAUUAACCAAAACACGUCCGAUUGAUCUGAAAUUUUGCACGCACAACCCAAAUGACAUGACGGUGCUACAGCAACUUUCAGAAUUCCGUUCUGACCCUCAAAUAGCUUGUGUUAUUUUUCAUAUUGUUCAACGACCGAGUAAAGUGGGAAUUAAUAUUUUAUUCCCAACACCACCGGAACUGUGAGCAAAGCUUUCCUUCCAUAUAUAACUGAUAAAUGUCCUAGCAAUGGCAACAUCAACAUUGAUCCUAGUCUUAAGAUCUGAAAUCAAUAAAAUCACUCUAGUCAGAUAAUGCAUGCCUACUGUUGGUCGAAAUGACUAAAUAAGCAAAUAGGUUAUAAACUUGAUUUUUGCGCGUGCGGUAUAAUUUUGUUGCAUGGGUCAAAAUAU